GUUGUAUGGUUAAGUGACUAAGCGUACACGGUGGAUGCCUGGGCAGUCAGAGGCGAUGAAGGACGUACUAACUUGCGAUAAGCGCAGAUAAGGCAGUAAGAGCCGUUUGAGUCUGCGAUUUCCGAAUGGGGAAACCCAACUGCAUAAGCAGUUACUGUUAACUGAAUACAUAGGUUAACAGAGCAAACCGGGGGAACUGAAACAUCUAAGUACCCCGAGGAGAAGAAAUCAACCGAGAUUCCGGUAGUAGCGGCGAGCGAACCUGGAUUAGCCCUUAAGCACUCGGUGAAGUAGGUGAACAAGCUGGAAAGCUUGGCGAUACAGGGUGAUAGCCCCGUAACCGACGCUUCAUCGAGCGUGAAAUCGAGUAGGGCGGGACACGUGAUAUCCUGUCUGAAUAUGGGGGGACCAUCCUCCAAGGCUAAAUACUCCUGACUGACCGAUAGUGAACCAGUACCGUGAGGGAAAGGCGAAAAGAACCCCUGUGAGGGGAGUGAAAUAGAACCUGAAACCGUGUACGUACAAGCAGUAGGAGCACCUUCGUGGUGUGACUGCGUACCUUUUGUAUAAUGGGUCAGCGACUUAUAUUCAGUGGCAAGGUUAACCGUAUAGGGGAGCCGUAGCGAAAGCGAGUCUUAACUGGGCGCUCAGUCUCUGGAUAUAGACCCGAAACCGGGUGAUCUAGCCAUGGGCAGGUUGAAGGUUGAGUAACAUCAACUGGAGGACCGAACCGACUAAUGUUGAAAAAUUAGCGGAUGACUUGUGGCUAGGGGUGAAAGGCCAAUCAAACUCGGAGAUAGCUGGUUCUCCCCGAAAGCUAUUUAGGUAGCGCCUCGGACGAAUACUACUGGGGGUAGAGCACUGUUAAGGCUAGGGGGUCAUCCCGACUUACCAACCCUUUGCAAACUCCGAAUACCAGUAAGUACUAUCCGGGAGACACACGGCGGGUGCUAACGUCCGUCGUGGAGAGGGAAACAACCCAGACCGCCAGCUAAGGUCCCAAAGUAUUGCUAAGUGGGAAACGAUGUGGGAAGGCUCAGACAGCUAGGAUGUUGGCUUAGAAGCAGCCAUCAUUUAAAGAAAGCGUAAUAGCUCACUAGUCGAGUCGGCCUGCGCGGAAGAUGUAACGGGGCUAAGCAAUACACCGAAGCUGCGGCAAUAUCUUUUAGAUAUUGGGUAGGGGAGCGUUCUGUAAGCCGUUGAAGGUGAAUCGUAAGGUUUGCUGGAGGUAUCAGAAGUGCGAAUGCUGACAUGAGUAACGACAAAGGGGGUGAAAAACCUCCUCGCCGGAAGACCAAGGGUUCCUGUCCAACGUUAAUCGGGGCAGGGUGAGUCGACCCCUAAGGUGAGGCCGAAAGGCGUAAUCGAUGGGAAACGGGUUAAUAUUCCCGUACUUCUGACUAUUGCGAUGGGGGGACGGAGAAGGCUAGGUGGGCCAGGCGACGGUUGUCCUGGUUCAAGUGCGUAGGCUUGAGAGUUAGGUAAAUCCGGCUCUCUCUAAGGCUGAGACACGACGUCGAGCUGCUACGGCAGUGAAGUCAUUGAUGCCAUGCUUCCAGGAAAAGCCUCUAAGCUUCAGAUAGUCAGGAAUCGUACCCCAAACCGACACAGGUGGUCGGGUAGAGAAUACCAAGGCGCUUGAGAGAACUCGGGUGAAGGAACUAGGCAAAAUGGUACCGUAACUUCGGGAGAAGGUACGCUCUUGAUGGUGAAGUCCCUCGCGGAUGGAGCUGACGAGAGUCGCAGAUACCAGGUGGCUGCAACUGUUUAUUAAAAACACAGCACUGUGCAAAAUCGCAAGAUGACGUAUACGGUGUGACGCCUGCCCGGUGCCGGAAGGUUAAUUGAUGGGGUUAGCGCAAGCGAAGCUCUUGAUCGAAGCCCCGGUAAACGGCGGCCGUAACUAUAACGGUCCUAAGGUAGCGAAAUUCCUUGUCGGGUAAGUUCCGACCUGCACGAAUGGCGUAAUGAUGGCCACGCUGUCUCCACCCGAGACUCAGUGAAAUUGAAAUCGCUGUGAAGAUGCAGUGUACCCGCGGCUAGACGGAAAGACCCCGUGAACCUUUACUACAGCUUGGCACUGAACAUUGAACCUACAUGUGUAGGAUAGGUGGGAGGCUAUGAAGACGUGACGCCAGUUGCGUUGGAGCCGUCCUUGAAAUACCACCCUUGUAUGUUUGAUGUUCUAACUUAGACCCGUUAUCCGGGUUGAGGACAGUGCCUGGUGGGUAGUUUGACUGGGGCGGUCUCCUCCCAAAGAGUAACGGAGGAGCACGAAGGUGGGCUAAUCACGGUUGGACAUCGUGAGGUUAGUGCAAUGGCAUAAGCCCGCUUAACUGCGAGAAUGACGGUUCGAGCAGGUGCGAAAGCAGGUCAUAGUGAUCCGGUGGUUCUGUAUGGAAGGGCCAUCGCUCAACGGAUAAAAGGUACUCCGGGGAUAACAGGCUGAUACCGCCCAAGAGUUCAUAUCGACGGCGGUGUUUGGCACCUCGAUGUCGGCUCAUCACAUCCUGGGGCUGAAGUCGGUCCCAAGGGUAUGGCUGUUCGCCAUUUAAAGUGGUACGCGAGCUGGGUUUAGAACGUCGUGAGACAGUUCGGUCCCUAUCUGCCGUGGGCGUUGGAAGAUUGAAGGGGGCUGCUCCUAGUACGAGAGGACCGGAGUGGACGAACCUCUGGUGUUCGGGUUGUGUCGCCAGACGCAUUGCCCGGUAGCUAAGUUCGGAAUUGAUAAGCGCUGAAAGCAUCUAAGCGCGAAGCGAGCCCUGAGAUGAGUCUUCCCUGA
rnacentral:rRNA from 1 species